rnacentral:lncRNA from 1 species
GGUUCCCAGGCUAGGGGUCUAAUCGGAGCUGUAGCUACCAGCCUACGCCAGAGCCACAGCAACGCAGGAUCCGAGCCAUGUCUGCGACCUACACCACUGCUCACGGCAACGCCAGAUCCUUAACCCACUGAGCAAGGCCAGGGAUCGAACCCACAACCUCAUGGUUCCCAGUCAAUUUUGUUAACCACUGAGCCACGAUGGGAACUGCCCAAAUUUCUUGUUAUGAGAAAACUAGUCAAGCUGGAUUAGAGCCUGACCCUGAGGACCUCAUUUUACCUCAGGCCUUAUAUCCAAAUACAGUCACAUUCUGAGGUUUGGGGGUCGGGGCGGCCGUAGGACUUCAAUAUGUGAAUUGAGGCUGGACAGAAGCCCUAAACAGAUCUGUAGUUGUUUUUUGCCCUUUUUUUCCCAUGGCCUGUACCUGUGACAUUUGGAAGUUCUCAGGCUAGGCGUCGAAUUGGAGCUGCAGCUGCCGGCCUCCGCCACAGCCACAGCAAUGCUGGAUCAGAGCCGCAUCUGUGACCUCCGCUAAAACUUGCGGCCAUGGUGGAUCCUUAACCCUUUGAGCAAGGCCAGGGAUCAAACCUGCAUCCUUACAGACAGUAUGUUGGGUUCUUAACCCGCUUUGCCACAACGGGAAUUCCUGUAGUAGUUUUAUGAUCAGGAUCAAAACGUGUGUGAUCACUUGUUGAUGAAUUUGUGAUUUAGUCUUGAUUCUCCAAAUACCACUUCUCCUAAGGGCUGAGACUUACGUGGAAAUUACUCCAACACAAUUUUCAAGUCUUCCUCAUCAGGAGAGGCAAACAUUCGAGAGAGGUUAAUGCCUGUUGAACACUUAACAUGUGCCAAGCACUGUAGUGGGAUUUUUAAUUUACUCCUUACUAUCACACAGCAAAAUAGAUAUUUAUGCCCUUGUUUUUCAGAUGUGGAAAUUUAGAUUCAGAUAGGCUAAUGUGAUUUGCUCAAAGGCACAAAACUAGGAAGCACUACAGUUCGGAUUCAACUGUAAACCCAUCUGAUUGUAGAGCCACGCCUUUUCCACAUGCAUCCCUUUUCUGGAACUGAAAAACAAGUUUGUUUUUUUUUCUCUUUCCCAUUUCAAGCUGUUGCAUUAAAAUCAGAAAAAAAACCCUUGUGAGAAAGACUUUCUAGAAGUCAGUCAUCAUUUAUUCGCAUUUCCAUUUGUCAUAUACCCAUACUUGACUGCCCGCUCUUUUUAGCAUUGCUUCACUUUGCUGCUUCUGUUUUUAAAGCUUGCCAUGCAAAUCGCACAACUGAAGAAUUAGGAAAUGGUGACAGCAAAGUGGUUCAUUGUAAGUUGGGCAGGGGUGAUGGUACAGAGCCCCCUUUCAGCCAGGCUGGUGUAAUGAAGUAAUUCAGACUUGUCCUAUGGUCUCUGCAAUCAAGCUCCACUUCACAGCACACUGGCUUGCAGGACCAAAAGUUGUUGGUUUAUGUGCAUUGUUCCCUCUGCAGUUGUCUUCCCAAACUCUGAAAGUGCCCAGAGAUUAUACAAAAAGUCAGGUGCAGCCCAGUUCUCUGGACAUGUUCUAUGAUCAUGACAUAUUUUGUUACACUGUCUCUACCCAAUGAAUGGGUCAGUUCCUAAGGAUGAAUUCCUUGCAGAGGAAGAGGGUGUUGGCAGUUCAAGGGACAGCUGAUACAUUUCAAAGGAUUGGAGGGCCAGUUAAAAAUGACAAUGGCAGUGAUAAUACCAAUGCUUCCUACCAUUGACUUCAUCUCGAUUUGCACGGACCUUUUGUAUCUCAUUUGAUUUUCACAAAAAUAUAUUGAAGUGAUAAGUCAGAGGUGGUUAUAUCCCCUUUCCGGAUGUGGAAAUUGAGGUUCACAGAGGUUAAAUGGAGGCAGAACAAUUCCCAGGUCUUUGAUCACCCCAACUCUCUAACUAAAUUAGUCUUGAGAAGUGCAACACACUGAGUUCAUUCACUUCCAGCUGUGGAACAUUUUGUCCUCCUGAAACAAUGUCGAAGUAGACUUGGGUCCGUCAGUAAUUGCUUACUAGUUUCAGUUGCCCAGUGGAUGACAAUCAAGAUACGGGGUUCUUUUCUCCCUAGGCUCUGGGAAGCUGAACAUUUACUAAAUUCAGGCCAUAUUUCAGUCUUCCGUCCAGUGCUCUUGCUGCUCAUAAUUCAUAGCCAUCAUGUAUGGAACAUUAGUUACCUUUGCGUUGUACGGAAUCAUCAGAAGAACUUUGGAAGAAAGGAAGUAUGUCCACCUUACAAAUGGAGAAGCUGAGGCUUGGAGCUAUUAAGUAACGUUUCCAAGGUUGUGUGGUGAAGAAAGCGCAGCAUCAGUUUGAAAUCAUUGAAUCUGUGGCCAGACCAUUGCUUUUAAUCACUCUGCCUGUAACUUGAAGGAGUCCUUAACUAAGUAAAUAGAUUGACACAAAUCAAUAAUAACUUCAGAGACACGCCGUGGAAUGAGUGCUGGAAGGUUAAAUUGUUAACUUAUCUACAUCGUGUCAUUAGGAAUUGGUCUUCCGCAGUUGUAUGUGUAGCUGAUGAAAUACUGCAGGCUGCUCCGGGGGGGACCCCACAAUCACUAUUAGUGCACAGAGGAUGCUUUCUUUGUUUAUUCUUGAUAGAAAAUUAUUUCUGACUUGCUGUUUCUCUACCUCACCAGAUCUGUUUUCCACAUACCUACCACCUACCACAUUCAGUCAUUCCAUUGAAAAUACACUCACCAGUAGGAGUCUCAGUUCCUGGAUGCUUUUGUGAUGAAGGGUUAAUCACUUCUGCUGGCAAGUGGUGUCAUAAGGCGCUCGGGUAGGUAGAAUAGUCAGCCAGGAAUACUCCCCUCUGUUCCUGGAGCGGGGCAGAGGAGCAGUCCUUCCGCAAAUCGUCUUCAGGACGUUGCAAGCUUUUACGACUUGGAACUGUGACCCGGAAGGCUCAGUGCUCGUCCCCCGGACUUCCCUUUGUGCAGCAGCGAAAAUCGCCCUUUUGGAUGUAAAGGUGUCGGGAAUGAAGGUCCACAGCUUCCACCACAGGACCUUUCACUUCGGGUCCAUCAUGCGGCUCUAUGUCUCUGAGUACAGUGGCUGCCUUUUCCUGAGCUGUUUCUCUGACUUCCUAAUGUGGGCUGCCUCUGCACACGUCAUACCUCAUCCGAACCCUCUCAGCACCAUCAGGAACAGAAUAUUUAGAGCAUUGGUGACCAGUAGUUUAUGUGUGAGGUCAAACUGUGAAAAGGAAAACUGUAUAUGAUCAGAUGGAAGGAAAGACGAUCACGUGGUUUCAACAUUAAAAAGGCUCUUUUUAAUCCCAUGGUGGUCUUGGGGUGGUACGGAAAUGUUUCUUCUUAAAAUUUUAGCCUACUCCUUUCUGGAAUAGAAUAAUACUGGUGAGGAAAUUGCCACUGCUUUCCAGCCACGAGAAAAUGGAAUAUCUACGCAUAUCUGAGAAGCAGAUAUGCUUUUUAAUCUUUCAUCCCGAAAUUAGCUUGCCUGGCUCUAAGAUGCAGCCUAUGAUCUAUUAGCUACUCGGGAGCACUGUAGAGGAUUUUCAAGCUGGAAGGGCCUUUGCAGAUGAUCGAGUCUAGUGGUUCCCAAAGUUUUCAUCACCAAGGGCACCUUUAAUUAUUUGUCCCCCGCAUUCUAUGUUUUGAAAUAUCUGGCCUACUAAAAACAUUACAUUGAUCACAUCAUAAUUUUUUCCCAUUGCUUGUUGCUCAAGGCCGUUGAUAACAUCUGGUCAGCAUGAAAUAAUCAAUGUGACCACAAUAAGCUUAUACAAUUCCUUUCCAAAGUGGAGGCCUUCGAGGUCUGCUAGAUCUCAGGGGUCUUUAAAAUUCAUCUCCCUUAGGCUUAUGGAAAUGUUAGGGAUAGCUCAGAGAGCCCCAUCCUCUUGGAGAGCCUUUCAUCUCCUUCCAUGAGGACAGGUGAGGAGACUCAGAUUUAAUAGCCAAAGGGAUUGGCCCAAGAUUACAUACACCUAUUAAUCGCAAGGAGGACUAGAACUCAUGGCUAAUGAGUCUCCAUCUUCUUUUUCCACAUUCCCAGUAUUCAUGUGCUUUGCGUCUAAGAGCUUAAUCAAUACUGUCUUGUAUUUUUCGGUGACAAGAGCUCUUUAAUGAACAGAGAGGAAGAAGAAAGUGGCCAAUCAUAUGCAGGUGACUUUGAGGAUGGCAGUGUUGGGUACGGACUUUUUGGACAGCAGAAGGCACACAGAAGCUGGAAUGAGAUACAGUUUUAUGGAAAGGGCACAGGCUUAGGAGUCAAAGAUAACAUGGGUUCAGUGACUGGCUUUGCCACUUAGUGGCUGUGUGACCCUAGGUCAGCUCCUUAUUACCUUGAUUGUUUCUGGGGCCAGUAGGUGUUCCAUAGGGAUUUGCUAAAUCAAUUGACUAGGGACAAUGCUGCUUAUUACCUCAUGGGGCUGUGUGUGGAUUGAAUGAAAUGAUAUGAAUGGAGUUCAUGUCAUAUGCCUAUCACAUAGCAGAUGGAAAAAAAUAAAAUUCCACCAUGGAUCCAUGAAAUAACCUAUAAAAUAAUACUAAGAAACAACUCUCAACUUUGCAUUUCUGCCCAGCCUCCUUUCCAUGACUAAUUUCGGGCAUCUCUGUAGAGAACAUCUCAGGUAGCAUUGCUCUUGACAAGGUUCAUUUAGGGAGCAAAGUAGUGUCCGUGUCAUCCUGUACACAUUGUCCCUGAGGGCUGAGAAGGCACAGAAUUGCUCUCAGCAGGGAAGUUCACUUGCCUCUUUUGCCUUCAUCUCCUUCGCAGUGAUGGUCUUUGCUAAAACGACUUGAAAUUGAAAAAGGAUACCUCAAGAGGGCUUGUUCCAGGUCCUUCUAGAUGGAGUCAUCAUGAAGUUCUUCCUUGUAGUCAACCAUACCAUCAUUUGACAGAUAGGAUAAAGCUUCAGCAAUGCAUACUUUAUGCGAUUUUCACAAGAAUUCAUAUUUAGGGCCCUUGGCAAGCUCAUACUCUCUUUGUGAAAUGUUGCAGCAGAGCCUGCAUUGCAGGGCUUUGCCCGCCAUAUUUGGCCCACCGUGUAGGGUGCCAUGUUGACCAGAAUGAGUUGUGCACAGCCUAUAAGACUAGAUGACCAGUCUCUACUGCACAUCCCACAUUGGAGGACGCUGAAGUCCUCUGUAGACCUUCUUCACUGGCCAUGAACUGUGAGAGUAAGCCAAGAACAUUCUCAUGCCCAGCCCCAGAGCCCACUUCAAUGUCCAAGAGAGGAAGAGGUGUCUAGUCUUUGAUCAGCAGUUGCCUCUCCUGCCCUCUGUGGCACAAACCCCCCCCCCCAAUGCCCAAACCAAAAACAUAAUAUGAUUAGUAUGGGGGGUUUAGAGUCAAUAGGAGGAGCAGGUGAGAUCCCCCCCCCUUGGAAUUUGAGGUAGAGUUUAUAUAAAUUUCAUGAGCAAAGUGGAAUCUUGGCUGGUAUAACAUUAGCCGAAACUCUUUGUUGGGCUCAAAUAAAAAUGUUCCGUCUUGUACAUGGCCUAGAGCCAUCUUGAAGAUGAAAAGUUGUAUGUUGAAAGGCCAAACAAACAAACAAAAUACUUGAAGAGCAUUGUGUACAAGGAGCCAGUAUCAUGAGAAUUUCUCCAGUUUUGAUUUUCUUGCGCUAUCGCGGGUUAUUUUUUUCCUCCUUCUGAACUAAGGAGAUGGAAAAUACCUUUGAGUCGUUAUGAAUGGAUUCUUAAUUAACUGUCCAGAGAUUUGUUUUGUGAGGUAAAAUUCUGAGACGGUUCUUGCCGUGGACAGGAAGAAUUAGCUCUGGAGCGAGCAGAAAAAGGGUUUAUUUCUUCUUACUGGCUUCCCUGAGGAAGCCAGGGGAGGCAAGGAUGAGCCCACAGCUGAGGCUCAUUCAUGGCUGAACUUGGGUCAAGGCUUCUAGGCCCCCUUCCCAGUGUCACUUUCUUUGCCAAAUUGGUGUGUGUGCGCUCCUUGGCUCUUUGGGGGGCAUGCUUCCCAGUGGAGGUGGCACUCUGCUUCUUGGCUUAGGCGGUUUGCUCCAGAGGAGAGAGGGUGCAUGCCUAGGAGUCUGGGCUCUGGCAUCUUGGCGCAGACAUUUUUUACAUCGUGGCUGGGGGUGAAUUUUAAUUCUACCGAAAAUUCCAAGGUGGGGGACGGACUCUCACCUGUCCUCUGCUAUUGACGCUAAACCCUCCAUAAUAAUCUUAACAUGUUUUCUGUUUAGUGUUUAUUUGUGCCGUUGGGAACAGGAGAGGGAACUGCUAAUCAGAGACUAGGCUUGGGGUGAAUGGCUUAUCUUCUCAGCCUCCACUUGCAUGUCUAAGAAAUACAGAGAAUAGGAGCUCCCGCUGUGGCACAACAUCAGCGGUGUCUUGGGAGUGCUGGGAUGCAGGUUUGAUCCCCAGCCCAGCACAGUGGGUUAAGAAUCUGGUGUUGCCACAGCUGUGGCUUGGGUUGAGACUGAGGCUCAGGUCUGAUCCCUGGCCCAGGAGCCCCAUAUGCUGUGGGGUGGCCAAAAAUGAAAAAAAAAAAAAAAAAAA